rnacentral:rRNA from 1 species
AUUGAACGCUGGCGGCAGGCCUAACACAUGCAAGUCGAGCGGUAGAGGGAAGCUUGCUUCUCUUGAGAGCGGCGGACGGGUGAGUAAUGCCUAGGAAUCUGACUGGUAGUGGGGGAUAACGUUCGGAAACGGACGCUAAUACCGCAUCCGUCAUACGGGAGAAAGCCGUGGACCAUUGGGCCUUGCGCUAUCAGAUGAGACUAGGCCGAAUUAGCUAGUUGGUGGGGUAAUGGCUCACCAAGGCGACGAUCCGUAACUGGUCUGAGAGGAUGAUCAGUCACACUGGAACUGAGACACGGUCCAGACUCCUACGGGAGGCAGCAGUGGGGAAUAUUGGACAAUGGGCGAAAGCCUGAUCCAGCCAUGCCGCGUGAGUGAAGAAGGUCUUCGGAUUGUAAAGCACUUUAAGUUGGGAGGAAGAAAAGUUUCCGAAUACGUAACUGUUUUGACGUUACCGACAGAAAAAGCACCGGCUAACUCCGUG